GGGAUUUUGAGGAGAGAAUCUGCCUCUGUGCUGGCCCAGAUUGACGGCACAAACAUUUCUAUCAGGAAUGACAGAACGGCAGAGUCAAGCUGGUCGUGUAUAAAGCAACUACGGUCACACAAAUGAGGAGCCCAGUAUGACCAGGUGGAGGUCGUAGUCCCAAGUUCAAUGGAAUUCUUCCCAUGUUUCCCUGUGGAAGACUUUCUUCCUUGGAAGCUAGGACCUCUAUUCCAGCAGGACCUAAGGUUUCAGGGAUAAGAAGAGUACAUUUUUUUAGACAAACCAUUCACCUUUGCCAGGAGAACAAGGACCGUGACAACGUGCGCUAGUCACAGCUCUGCUGCUUGGAACUGAUCCGAUGGAACACCAUGAAUCCAUAAGUGUAACUUCAAGGAGAAGCAUUAGCCCUAGAGAGGUACUUAAUAUCCAAGUCUAGACCAUCUGUUCGUGUUUCUUAUUUGUGCCCUUGGGAAUUAUUCAGACCCAGUUCUAAAUGUCCCAUUUUCAUCAUAUAAUAAACUGUUGCUCUGCCU
rnacentral:lncRNA from 1 species